UUGCGUAUGCAGCAGCUGGCCAAGA
rnacentral:piRNA from 1 species